rnacentral:rRNA from 1 species
CAAAAACAUGGAUGGCCAAAUUGUGGUCUUUGCACCCUUUGCAAGCGAGAGCAAGAAAGUGGACCGCAUCUUUUCUUCAAAUGCCGCUUCACCAUUAGGCUAUGCAACUUGGUCAUUGCAAAAUUUGGGCUUCAUCAUAUGGACACCUCUAUAUGGCAUCUUGAGAGUUCGGUCAAGGAAUGGUGGACAAAUAGGACCGGCGCCGGAGUCCCCAACAGGAAGGCCAUGGCCUCUCUAACCAUGCUCAUGUCAUGGACCAUUUGGAGCGAGCGGAAUGCCCGUGUUUUCCGGAACAAGAGUGCUCCACCAUCAAUCUUGCUAAACAACAUCAUCUGCGAGGCAAACCUUUGGAUCACCGCCGGAGCAAAAAAAUUAGGAAACAUUAUUUUGUGUGAGUAA